CCUCUGCUAUCAGAGGCGGCGCUGAGUGCAUGAGAAUUAAGCUCAUGGUUCGGCUAGUGAAAACCCUCAGAG
rnacentral:ncRNA from 1 species